rnacentral:rRNA from 1 species
CAAUAGCGUAUAUUUAAGUUGCUGCAGUUAAAAAGCUCGUAGUUGGAUUUCGGGUGGGAAUGGCCGGUCCGCCGUUUCGGUGUGCACUUGCUACGCCCACCUUGCUGCCGGGGACGUGCUCUUGAGUUCACGCUCGGGACACGGAGUCGGCGAGGUUACUUUGAGUAAAUUAGAGUGUUCAAAGCAGGCCUACGCUCUGAAUACAUUAGCAUGGAAUAACACGAUAGGACUCUGGCCUAUCUUGUUGGUCUGUAGGUCCGGAGUAAUGAUUAAGAGGGACAGUCGGGGGCAUUCGUAUUUCAUUGUCAGAGGUGAAAUUCUUGGAUUUAUGAAAGACGAACUACUGCGAAAGCAUUUGCCAAGGAUGUUUUCAUUAA